GUCAAUGAAAGUAAAUUUGAGGCAAUCACCAGUCUAUUGCCCUGCAGUAACCGAAAGUAAAAGUGCAAAUGCCGAGCGAUGAAAUAUUGAUAAGGACGGUUACGGUCAGAGAUCUUUGGGGUGCACAUUAAUUCAUGUUUUCCAUUCAUAUUGAUAAUGAUGAUAAUCUCUGGUUGAUGUGCGUACUUCUCAAUGGGGAAGCAAUAAAAAAAAAAUAAUAAUAAUACAAUCAGAUUUCUAUCGCGGGACUUUAUAGCUAUAUAAUACUUACAUAUUGUACAAUUUUAUAUACAUAUGUACGUAGUAUGUUGUAUAGGUAUUUAUAGACCACUUGACGAGUUCAAUUGUACGAUCGAUAUACCGACAAGUUGACUGAUUUCCCAAAUUGGCAUAUGUUCAAGAGUCCCGAACGCGUCGCUUAUCAUUUAUCAGUAAACAAAGUGGACUCUGAUAGGGAGGGCGUUGCACGGGAUGUCAAAAAUCGCUCGGCUUAAUUGCACAAAUCAAGCACUUUAGGUUAUUCAAUUUCCAGUGAAUUCCAUAUCAAUACUACAAAAACUGGUAGUACAGAGUGCAUUCGAUAAAUGCUGUCAAGCUAAUGAUGCCGUGCACAAUCAAUAGCUACUUGCACCCUGCUAAUGAAUGUGAACUUAGCCCAGUUUCCACAGCAACAGGAGGAGCGGGGCAACCUCAAAUCAGUUGAGGGGGAUGACGGAACAGCAGCCUACACCGGCUAGAUGUGGUUCCCAUUACAGUGCGUGCGCAGUGGAAAAUUUUACGAAAAGUCGAAAAAACGCCUUUAGGGAAACAGCUCACAGGCAACACGUACAUAUAUCCCCGUAAAUGCAACAGCACUAAAUGAGAAAAAAAUAAAACAGAGGAAUACAAAGGUGAUGAAUUAUUGAGCAGCCCGACUGUAAUCACAAAAAAGCAGGAGACAACAACAACAACUGACAUGCUGGGUCAAGAGAGAGCAAAUGACAACGUGGCGAGAGCAGGGAGAGCGUGUGUUGGCAUAUGUGUAGGCGGCUUGGCAGCGUGGGCAGAGCGUAAAUGUCAAACUCUUCGCUUGUGCUUGAAAGGGACAGAACUGGGUGGGUGGGUGUCGCAAUGACGUGUGCAUUGACCGUUGGAUGUCGAUUGUGUAAUCACUCUCUAGUAAUAUCAGCACUUAUGUUAUGCAUAUAUAUGUACUUAUGAAUGCACUUGUAUGUACUUAGCCAACACUGUGUCUUGUGCUAUAAAAUAUUUAUAG